GUGAAGUAUAAUGUGAGGAGUUUGAAAGCGAAAUAAACGCCAUCUACUUCCACUCGAAAGUCAUAACAGUCUUUUCAACUAAUCGAACAUGUGUUUCAGAAAAGAUUGUGAGAAAUGCGGUAAACCUACCUGGGCCGGAUGUGGGAAUCACAUUGAAAAGGCCUUGGAAGGUGUCCCUCCUGAACAGAGAUGCCAGUGCCCCAGAGAAAAGAAAUAACUGCAAUGAAUCCUGCAUUUUUACAUCGGCACCUCCGUGAUAUCAAUUGGCCAACCAAUUUUCACCCUAAACAUUACUAAAUUGAAAACACUGAAAACUUUGAUUCAUCAUCAGUUUCACUGAACAAUGACCACUGGAACAAUACAGUCGUAAAAGCUGACAGUUACACACAAGAUGGAUACAGCAUGGCAUCUCAUCUUCACUCAUGACUGACAGCAAUGUGCAUCAUUGCAUGUGCCAAGUAAUAAUUAAUAAGCCUAACAUAUUACAGUUGAAUGGUUCGUUGUCGGCACAGGUACUACAGAUGAGUGUACAGAAACGUACCCUAGGAAGAGUCCAUUCUGCAUUGUGCUGUUUUUCUUGAUAGGAACUUCCAUUGUAUUAGAUGCAUUUGAUUGCGCAUUCUGUCCAUUCUGCAUUGUGCUGUUUUUCUUGAUAGGAACUUCCAUUGUAUUAGAUGCAUUUGAUUGCGUUAUAUAAAGCAUGAAUAUACACAGUAACGAAUACCACCCACAAUCAGUUGAAUGGGAACAACUACCUAUGGUUUCGGUUUGGGGUGGCGGAAUAAGGACUUGUUCUCUGUUUAGGGGAUCAGGCCUUUUUCUGUGUUUUGACAUAGUUUAGGGUACAUUUCUGUAUACAGAAACAUAUCUUGGGUACAUAUGUGUAGUACCUGUGCUGACAUUGACCCUUUUAGAAACAUUAACCAUAAGGUUGUGAAAAAACCCCAACAUGAUUCAGAUUCAUUGUUUAUUCCAAAUCAGUUUCUCUAGUCAUGAUGCAAUGUGUUUUUCUGUUGAGAAUUCUUUUUCGUUCUUGCAGGUGAUAAUCAUUUAAGUGUUAAUGUUAACUUUAAACUUGUAUGAAAGUUGUCUGUAAAACAUGUUUAGGGAAGACAUUAAACUUGAUGAAUGAAAAUGUUUUGUAACUGAAAGCUUCUGGGCAACUUCAUCAUGUGAACAUAAAAAGAAUCAAUACAUUACAGCUGAUAUUCAUUAGUAGGAAGGCUUCAUGUCUUCCUAAGUUUCCUGUCAUACCAUGAACCAGUGUAUUAUGUUCUUGUUGGCUCCAUUUCACCAGGAGCUUCACAGAGACUACUGGGGACAAAGUUUUCUGAAAUCUCUCAAAGUGACAUUACUCAUCGCUUACUCACUCACUAAUGGUUUCACACAACAUUCCCCCUCAAAAAACAUCUGAAGAAAUAGGUUGAAGGUAUUUAGCCUGUAUCAAUGACAAUCAAACUUGUUCGUUUAUCAUUUAAUUAAACCAUUAUGUGCA